GAUGAACGCUGGCGGUAUGCUUAACACAUGCAAGUCGAACGGACUCUUCGGAGUUAGUGGCGGACGGGUGAGUAACGCGUGAGAAUCUGGCUUUGGGUUCGGGACAACCACUGGAAACGGUGGCUAAUACCGGAUGUGCCGAGAGGUAAAAGAGAAAUUGCCUGAAGAUGAGCUCGCGUCUGAUUAGCUAGUUGGUGAGGUAAAGGCUCACCAAGGCAGCGAUCAGUAGCUGGUCUGAGAGGAUGACCAGCCACACUGGGACUGAGACACGGCCCAGACUCCUACGGGAGGCAGCAGUGGGGAAUUUUCCGCAAUGGGCGAAAGCCUGACGGAGCAAUACCACGUGAGGGAAGAAGGCUCUUGGGUUGUAAACCUCUUUUCUUAGGGAAGAACAAAAUGACGGUACCUAAGGAAUCAGCAUCGGCUAGCUCCGUG
rnacentral:rRNA from 1 species